GGAAUGUUCAUCAACUAUAAUGAAACUUGAUCAAAACCUUCACAAAUUGAAUAAACUGCAGAUGCUGCACGCACUUAAAAGAUGUGGAAACAUGGUACUGGCUCCUGGGCUAGAAAUGUUUGAAUGAACCUGCUAGCUUUUCUCCACAGUGGGAAACUAAGAUCUAUGUUUUUUUUCUUUUCUUGGGUACUAUUAACAUGGAGCCAAAGGCCAGU
rnacentral:misc_RNA from 1 species